AGACCUACUUAUCUACCAACAGC
rnacentral:miRNA from 1 species